rnacentral:ncRNA from 1 species
CGUGGACUUUGCCCAUUGCAUGGAUGAUUUAUGAUAACUCAACGGAUUGUAUGAUCAUUUUGUUAAUGGCUCAUCAAUCAAAUUUUUCUACCUUAUUAAUUUCUAAAAAUUACAUAAAUACACAACUUAUGUUUUCAAUAUUACAAAAAAUCCCAACUCCAUAAACAUAUUACAAAAAUCCCACAUAUACAUUGAAUGCUAUGUAUAUGUCGGCUAUGUUAUGUAUAUUAAUAGAGAGAGAGAGUAAAGUAAUUUAAAAAGUGGGAGAGAGUGUAAUUACUUUUAAAAGAUUGGUAUUAAGGUUAUUUAUACUAAUUUCUAAGAAUUUGAUGGUAGGAUAGUGGACCAUCAUUAUGUGUCAUUGAGAAUUAGAAUUCGAUUCUGGAGUGAAAACAUGAGAAACACCUUCCACAUUUAAGAAAAGCAACAAGAAAACAAAUUACUCAAUCCUAAAGCUGGGAGGUAGUGAUAAUAAAUAAUAAUAUCGGGCUUUAUGAGUCUGGUAAUUUCAAAUUAGUAUAAUCUAAAUCGUUAAUUCCUUGACGGAGAUCUAUUGGAGGAUAAGUUUAAUGCCAGCAAUCAUAGUAAUUCCAACUCAUGAGCAUAUAUUUAAGUUGUUGUCGUUAAAAACCUUGUAGCAGAACUUCGAGAUGGAUCGAUGGCUCAUUCUAGGUGUGCAUCAAUUGUAAGAAAUUAGAGUGUUUAAAAUAAGUUUAUGCUAUGACUACAUUAGUAAGGAAUAACAUUAAUUACAUUAGCCUUUGGGAUUGGAGUAAUAAUUAAAGAGGAAAUCGGGACAUUCAUAUGUCCAAAAUGAUUUUUUUUCAAGCCGCCUCCG